rnacentral:rRNA from 1 species
CCUACGGGUGGCAGCAGUGAGGAAUAUUGGUCAAUGGACGAGAGUCUGAACCAGCCAAGUAGCGUGAAGGAUGACUGCCCUAUGGGUUGUAAACUUCUUUUAUAUGGGAAUAGAAUGUUCCACGUGUGGGAUUUUGUAUGUACCAUAUGAAUAAGGAUCGGCUAACUCCGUGCCAGCAGCCGCGGUAAUACGGAGGAUCCGAGCGUUAUCCGGAUUUAUUGGGUUUAAAGGGAGCGUAGGUGGAUUGUUAAGUCAGUUGUGAAAGUUUGCGGCUCAACCGUAAAAUUGCAGUUGAAACUGGCAGUCUUGAGUACAGUAGAGGUGGGCGGAAUUCGUGGUGUAGCGGUGAAAUGCUUAGAUAUCACGAAGAACUCCGAUUGCGAAGGCAGUUCACUGGACUGUAACUGACACUGAGGCUCGAAAGUGUGGGUAUCAAACAGGAUUAGAUACCCUGGUAGUC